rfam:Triticum aestivum genome assembly, contig: Triticum_aestivum_CS42_TGACv1_scaffold_374351_5AL
CAAAUGCUCUCCCCGUCUCAAAAUUCUUGUCUUAAAUUUGUCUAGAUAGGGAUGUAUCUAACACUAAAACAUAACUAGAUACAUCCGUUUUUGGACAAAUGUAAGACAAAAAAUUUUGAAACGAAGAAAGUAUUAG